GGUUCCCGCUGACGUGCUCAGAUCUCAGCAGACGGAUUUCCUGCGGGUCCGGCUGCCUCUAUUCGAGGGGCGCCAGGAGUCCCUUCUGUUCUCCUCGGGCUCGGAAGUAGAAAGGAUGGUGUCCGUGUGGAGGCGCUGUGUUUCAGGGGUGUGAGACACGGAUACAUCUGUGUGAGGAUCACAAAGCCGACAGAUUGGUGCCCGCUGUGGCGAGGUCGACCAGAUGGCCCGACAGGUUGUUGGGGAUCUUGGUUAACAUUUAUACUGUAAUGUAGGUAUUCAAUGAGAAAUCUUGACAUUAAUUAUAAUGAAAAUCACCAUUAUCAUUGUUACUCAACAAUAACGUAAUUAUUACCUUUGUUUGCAGUUAAUUUAAGAAACACUGUUUCAAGUUUAUCCACAGAGUAUCAAAUUGAAGACGACCAGAGAAGGUGUUGAAAUGAAGAACUUUCUUAACACACUGAGAAGUUGGGGAACCUCUCCUUCCAGCCACGAGGCCCUGCCCUGCAGCAACCGACCUGGAAAACCAGACCCCAGCCCCUGCAGCAAUGGGCUCCAGGAUUCAGUGCGUGGUAGCUCCAAUGAAAACUUCAAGUACAGGGGCUUCCCUGGUGGUCCAGUGGUUAAGAAUCUACUUGCAGGGCAGGGAACACUGGUUCAAUCUCUGGUCCCCAGAAGAUCCCACAUGCCACAGAGAAAUUAAGUCUGUACACUGCAAAGACUGAGCCCAGGCAUCCUAGAGCCCAGCGCUCCACAGCAAGAGGAGCCACCAAAGCGGGAAGCCCAACCACCCAACUAGAGCACAGGCCCUGCUCGCUACAAGUGGAGAGAGCCUGCAGGCAGCAAAGAAGACCCAGGGCAGCCAAAAAGAAAUAAAAUUAUGUGUAAACAAAAACCCCUUCA
rnacentral:lncRNA from 1 species